UCUAACUGCGGGCUAGCAGCGGCGGUGAUACGAAGGGGGCGAGCGGUGCUCGGAAUGACUGGGCGUAAAGCGCACGUAGGCGGCUUGGUAAGUCAGGGGUGAAAUCCUGGAGCUCAACUCCAGAACUGCCUUGGAUACUGGCGAGCUGGAGUUCGGGAGAGGUGAGUGGAACUGCGAGUGUAGAGGUGAAAUUCGUAGAUAUUCGCAAGAACACCAGUGGCGAAGGCGGCUCACUGGCCCGAUACUGACGCUGAGGUGCGAAAGCGUGGGGAGCAAACAGGAUUAGAUACCCCAGUAGUC
rnacentral:rRNA from 1 species